UUGGGAAUAUGCCUUAUGGUGGGGGACAACAGUCGGAAACGACUGCUAAUACCGCAUAACGUCUACGGACCAAAGGAGGGGAUCUUCGGACCUUUCUCCAUUUGAUUAGCCCUAGUGAGAUUAGCUAUUAGGUGAGGUAAAGGCUCACCUAGGCGACGAUCUCUAGCUGGUUUGAGAGGAUGAUCAGCCACACUGGGACUGAGACACGGCCCAGACUCCUACGGGAGGCAGCAGUGGGGAAUUAUUGCACAAUGGGCGAAUGCCUGAUGCAGCCAUGCCGCGUGUGUGAAGAAGGCCUUCGUGGUUGUAAAGCACUUUCAGUUGUGAGUAAAGGGAUGUAGUUAAUAACUGCAUUCUGUGACGUUUAACAACAUAAGAAGCACCGGCUAACUUUCGUGCCAGC
rnacentral:rRNA from 1 species